rnacentral:lncRNA from 1 species
GGGCUCCUAGGUCGGUACUCCUCUGAUACCAACUUUUCACGCCCAAGAUGCGAUCCUAUCCUUAUUUUGGCACGAGGGCCUCAACAGCGAUAGAAGCGCAUCUCGUCGUUUCGCAAGAAUGGAUAUCAUUACAAGUACAUGUACUUAAGAGAAGAGUAUAUGGAAUUGGCUUACACUCGCCACAAGCUAGAUCACAGUCACAUUAGUACAAUACAUUACCAUCAUGAUGAAGAGCAGGUCCGACUACG